CAUAUAUUAUAUAAAUUAUAUAUAUCUUACUUAAAGUUAUAAUGAUAAUAUUUAAUUUGUAAAUUUAAUUAUUUAUAUUUUUGGUGAAAUGGUGGUGAUGAAUUAAUAUUAAUCUAUUUAAUAAAUCAUAUAUUUUAGCUUUAUUUAUAAUAUAAAUUAUUGUUUUUCAAAAUAAUUUCGUUUCUUCUCGGACGGACCAAACCAAAUUAUUUCGGUUCGUUCUAUAAUAAUAUUUCGGUCCGGUUCAAUCGGGAAAAAAUUAAAGUUCGGUUCUCGGUCUAUUGAGUCCGGUCCAGUUUAGGACCGAAAN
rnacentral:lncRNA from 1 species